rnacentral:rRNA from 1 species
AGAGUUUGAUCAUGGCUCAGGACGAACGCUAGCGGCGCGCUUAACACAUGCAAGUCGAGCGGAAAGGCCCUUCGGGGUACUCGAGCGGCGAACGGGUGAGUAACACGUGAGCAACCUGCCCUUGGCUUUGGGAUAACCCCGGGAAACCGGGGCUAAUACCGAAUAUGACUUCUGGUCGCAUGGCCGGAGGUGGAAAGUUUUUCGGCUGAGGAUGGGCUCGCGGCCUAUCAGCUAGUUGGUGAGGUAACGGCCCACCAAGGCUUCGACGGGUAGCCGGCCUGAGAGGGCGACCGGCCACACUGGGACUGAGAUACGGCCCAGACUCCUACGGGAGGCAGCAGUGGGGAAUAUUGCACAAUGGGCGAAAGCCUGAUGCAGCGACGCCGCGUGAGGGAUGAAGGCCUUCGGGUUGUAAACCUCUUUCGACAGGGACGAAGCGCAAGUGACGGUACCUGUAGAAGAAGCGCCGGCCAACUACGUGCCAGCAGCCGCGGUA